rnacentral:tRNA from 1 species
AAGGAUUUAAGUUAAAUAUAAACUCGAAGCCUUCAAAGCUUCAAAUAAAGACCGACCUUUAAGCCUUA